rnacentral:rRNA from 1 species
CCAGCAGCCGCGGUAAUACGUAGGUGGCAAGCGUUAUCCGGAUUUAUUGGGCGUAAAGGGAACGCAGGCGGUCUUUUAAGUCUGAUGUGAAAGCCUUCGGCUUAACCGGAGUAGUGCAUUGGAAACUGGGGAACUUGAGUGCAGGAGAGGAGAGUGGAAUUCCUAGUGUAGCGGUGAAAUGCGUAGAUAUUAGGAGGAACACCAGUGGCGAAAGCGGCUCUCUGGUCUGUAACUGACGCUGAGGUUCGAAAGCGUGGGUAGCA